GGGAAGCUCCGCCGCCGCCAUCUCAGUCCACAUCGCCGCCGUCACCACACCACCAUGGCCGGUGCUGGAUCGAGUUCGUCCGCACCAGGAGAAGGAGGCUUUCACUUGAUGAGUUGCCUAAAAGAAGUUCCGACACUCAGAGGUGACAACCACACUGAGUGGAGGAAGAAAGUUGAACUGGCAUUUAUUUGUGCUGAUCUUGACUGGGUUGUGGUGAAACCACAGCCGGUCAGACCCACAGAGCCAGUAAGAGAGGCUACUGAUGAUGAUGCUGCAUGGGCUAAAAAGAAGGGGGACUAUGCUCCUUUGGAGCAGUCCUACCUCAUAGAUAACCAAAAGUGGGUCAAUGCAAACAAAAAGUGCAUGGCUUUUAUAAAGAAUACAAUUGAGAGCGCCAUUGUGGGCUCCAUUCCAGAGUGCACUUCCGCAGGGGAGUUGCUUACAAAGAUAAAGAGCCAGUUCACUGGCUCUUCAAAGAUCUAUGCCACCCAGGUGUUAGAGCAACUGGUGACAGAACGCUACACAGGUGGUAGUCUUGGAAUAAGAGAGCACAUCCUCAGGAUGAGUAAUAUGGCAGCAAAGCUCAAGCCCAUGGAUGCGGAUCUGGAGAUCAAACCAGCACUCCUGGUCCACCUGGUCAUGGCUUCACUGCCACAGGAGUUUGCAACUUUUGUUGUAAACUAUAAUAUGUCACCUGGAACAUGGGACAUUGAAAAGACAAUAGCAAUGUGUGUC
rnacentral:rRNA from 1 species